AACUAGCUGUACUUUUUAAGCAUACUUUUUUAAAAAAUACAUUUUGGUUGUAGAUAGACACAAUAUUUUUAUUUAUCUUUAUGUGGUGCUGAGUAUCAAACCCAGUGCCUUACACAUGCUAGGCGAGUGCUCUACCACUGAGCCAAAACCCCAGCACUUAAGCAUACUUUUUAAACUUGCAAUAAAAUUAACAAUAAUAGCAACUGCCAUUUAUGGAGCACACACUGUACUAGGAAUUGUACAUACAGUACAUUCUUUAGAUCAGGGGUGACAAACUGGUUAAAUCUGGCUGCUGCUUGUUUUUGUAAAUAAAAUUUUGAUACACAUACUCAAGUCCAUUUGUUUACAUCACAUCUGUGGCAACCUUCCUGCUUCAGUGGCAGAAACUUUGCUCUGCACAGCCCAGAAUACUUCUGUACUUUAUAGAAAGUUUGCCCACACCUUUUCUAGAUUAAUCUUUACAAUUAUUAUCCUUGUUUUGCAAAUGAGAAAACAGCCUUAGAAAGCUUAGCUAACUUUCCCAGGUUCACACUACUAGGAGGCAGGGAACUGGGAUUUGAUUCUCUUUCUGACCAGGUUCUGCUACAUGUAUCAGCUGACAGAACAGUGUGUGACUGCACCCUACAGAAGGCCAUUAGGGGAAUUUGUGCAAUGAGUCUUUUCCUACCCUCCCAUUUAAGUAGGGCAGAAGUUGAGGCUUCUUCCUUGGGUUCAGGAAUCAACACAAUUUAAUUGCUUCAUUGUUGUGAAAUCAAGCGUUCUAAAGAACUGAAUUA
rnacentral:lncRNA from 1 species